rnacentral:rRNA from 1 species
UACGAAGGGGGCUAGCGUUGCUCGGAAUGACUGGGCGUAAAGGGCGCGUAGGCGGUUUGUACAGUCAGGUGUGAAAUUCCCGGGCUCAACCCUGGGGGCUGCGACUUGAUACGUAUGGACUGGAGUGGGGAAGAGGGUCGUGGAAUUCCCAGUGUAGAGGUGGAAAUUCGUAGAUAUUGGGAAGAACACCGGUGGCGAAGGCGGCGACCUG